rnacentral:rRNA from 1 species
AUUGAACGCUGGCGGAAUGCUUUACACAUGCAAGUCGAACGGUAGAGGGGGCAACCCCUCGAGAGUGGCGAACGGGUGAGUAAUAUAUCGGAACGUGCCCAGUCGUGGGGGAUAACGUAGCGAAAGUUACGCUAAUACCGCAUACGAUCUAAGGAUGAAAGCGGGGGAUCGCAAGACCUCGCGCGAUUGGAGCGGCCGAUAUCAGAUUAGGUAGUUGGUGGGGUAAAGGCUCACCAAGCCAACGAUCUGUAGCUGGUCUGAGAGGACGACCAGACAGACUGGAACUGAGACACGGUCCAGACUCCUACGGGAGGCAGCAGUGGGGAAUUUUGGACGAUGGACGCAAGUCUGAUCCAGCCAUUCCGCGUGCAGGAUGAAGGCCCUCGGGUUGUAAACUGCUUUUGUACGGAACGAAAAGGUCUCUCUUAAUACGGGGGACUCAUGACGGUACCGUAAGAAUAAGCACCGGCUAACUACGUGCCAGCCGCCGCAGUAA